GACGAACGCUGGCGGCGUGCUUAACACAUGCAAGUCGAACGGAAAGGCCCUGCUUUUGUGGGGUGCUCGAGUGGCGAACGGGUGAGUAACACGUGAGUACCCUGCCCUUGACUUUGGGAUAACUUCAGGAAACUGGGGCAAAUCCCGGAUAGGAGCUCCUGCUGCAUGGUGGGGGUUGGAAAGUUUCGGCGGUUGGGGAUGGACUCGCGGCUUAUCAGCUUGUUGGUGGGGUAGUGGCUUACCAAGGCUUUGACGGGUAGCCGGCCUGAGGGGGUGACCGGCCACAUUGGGACGGAGAUACGGCCCAGACUCCUACGGGAGGCAGCGGUGGGGAAUAUUGCACAAUGGGCGGAGGCCUAAUGCAGCAACGCCGGGGGGGGGAUAACGGCCUUCGGGUUGUAAACCGCUUUCGCCUGGGACGAGGCGUGAGUGACGGUAAUGGGUAAAGAAGCACCGGCUAACUACGUG
rnacentral:rRNA from 1 species